rnacentral:rRNA from 1 species
AUUGAACGCUGGCGGCAUGCCUUACACAUGCAAGUCGAACGGCAGCGGGGGAGAAGCUUGCUUUUCCUGCCGGCGAGUGGCGAACGGGUGAGUAAUACAUCGGAACGUGCCCUGUAGUGGGGGAUAACUAGUCGAAAGAUUAGCUAAUACCGCAUACGACCUGAGGGUGAAAGUGGGGGACCGCAAGGCCUCAUGCUAUAGGAGCGGCCGAUGUCUGAUUAGCUAGUUGGUGGGGUAAAGGUCUACCAAGGCGACGAUCAGUAGCUGGGCUGAGAGGACGAUCAGCCACACUGGGACUGAGACACGGCCCAGACUCCUACGGGAGGCAGCAGUGGGGAAUUUUGGACAAUGGGCGAAAGCCUGAUCCAGCAAUGCCGCGUGUGUGAAGAAGGCCUUCGGGUUGUAAAGCACUCUUGUCCGGAAAGAAAUGGCUCUGGUUAAUACCUGGGGUCGAUGACGGUACCGGAAGAAUAAGGACCGGCUAACUACGUGCCAGCCGCCGCAGUAA